rnacentral:lncRNA from 1 species
ANCCGAGCGGGAAGCCACCUCCCGGUUGAGAUGUAUGGGAAGAGCUGUAGGCGUCUACGCCUUUUUACUCGGGUUUGUUCCCGACGUCCACGUCCUUAUGUUAUUCCAAACACGCAUUUGUCACGCUUAGGAGGGGACAGACUAGCGGGUGGGUCAAUCUAGCAAAGGCAUCCGCACACAGAAACGGUUUGGGCUCCGGUUUUUAGUUCUGCAGGAAUUCCCGGAGAUGGUUCUGAAGAAAACCGCACGUUCACACAUUGAUUAGAAACAGGAAGAAGGAAAACAGGCAACAGACCAACAGUACUUUCACCAACUCCAAGUUGAAGAUCGUCUCUGCAGGGUGGAGGAACACAUCACACUUCUGCAUAUGUAAGAGAACAAGAUAUGUUAAGAAGAAACCUUCUGGCUGAGAACACCCAAAUUCAGCAGCCUACUUCCAGCCAUAAGAUACCUGUCACCUCUUGGAAAGCUUCAGUGAAGAUGUCAACCCAACGAUUCCCCUUCUUCCUUGCAUCCAGUGUAUCUGGGAUUGAAAGACUCUACCACUUCAGGGCUGAGAGAAUGACUGUACAAGAACCUUGAAUGCUGCGCUGAAGACACGUUAGAGCUUCCUUUCUGCAUUGUGUUGAGUAUUCUUGAGUACUGGAGGGUGUUCCAUGAGCAGUAUAUGCCAGCUGCAGGCCACCUGCUGCCAACCCCUGAAACACUGUGCAUCAUAACUGACAACAUUUGGACUCCAGUGGGGCACAUUGCCAAGGGCAUCAUCAAGUACAGACUGAACUCAUCCUAGAAGAGGAGGAUGCAAGGUCGGUGAUACAGCUGUGGAACAUUCCUGUAUCCAUCACGAUUCAAAAAGAUCUCCCCCUAGAAGAAUUCUAGGGUUAUUUUAUGAAAAAUUCCCUUAGCUGUUCAACAGAAGUGCAGGGAUUCACAGAGCAGAACAGCUGAGUUCCCUACUCCUUUUUUCCCCUCAUCAACUGGCACUUAGAGUCUCAGUUACUCACUCAGAGAUAUUAGUGGGAGAAAGAUUAAAAAAAAUCUAUUACUCAAACUCAACUAGAUCAAACAGCAAACUGGCAAAAUAUGGCUGCUUGCAGCAACAGGCCUCAACACUUUCACAGACUGCAAGAGAGGUGGAAAAAAGGCAGAGCAGAGACGCAGGGUUCUCUUUGCAUCAGAGGCGAGAGGGAGCCAUUGGUUAGUGCUGGAUAGAUUGACAGUCACCCCAGCCCUGAAAGGUCCCUCCCAGCCAAACAUACUAAAGGCAGCAUGCGAGGUUGCAAUAAAACUCCAACAGAAUUGUGCA